rnacentral:rRNA from 1 species
UACGGAGGGGGCUAGCGUCGUUCGGAAUUACUGGGCGUAAAGCGCGCGUAGGCGGCUAUUUAAGUCAGGGGUGAAAGCCCGGAGCUCAACUCCGGAACUGCCUUUGAGACUGGAUAGCUAGAAUCUUGGAGAGGCGAGUGGAAUUCCGAGUGUAGAGGUGAAAUUCGUAGAUAUUCGGAAGAACACCAGUGGCGAAGGCGGCUCGCUGGACAAGUAUUGACGCUGAGGUGCGAAAGCGUGGGGAGCAAACAGG